AUUAUGUUAAUUGGCUCACAACUUUUUUUUUACCUCAAGGUUAUUAAGGUCAUGUGAUCAGUAUUCCAUGAUAAUUAAUAUAGAUUAAAAUAGAUGAAACCGUUUUCAAAAAGUGCCCCGGUUGAAGAAUCACCAAUACAUCUCAGUGCAGACUUCAUUUAAAUGCAAUGAAUGUGGAAAAACAAACAAACAAAAAACUAAAACAAUAUGUUUUGUUAAUAAUGUAAUCAAAGCUGUGCGUCUAUUGAAUCUGAUUUGCCUGUACCAAAUGAAAUUGGUUAAUACUAAAUGAAAACAAAAUAUAUCUUUAUUUUGUGAUCAAGUUAUUCGGUGUGCGAAAAUUUAGUCAUCUCCAGAUUAUGUAAAACUCAAAUCACGUCUAUAGCCUAAAAAUAGAGUGUUCACGAUUUCCCUCAAAGUGAGACGUCACAGUGGUUCUGAAUUCUGGGAGAAAAAAAGAGGAAGCAUCUGAAAAGGUGGCUUGGAUCGAGGGGGAAAAGUACGACUCGAUGCCUCCACGACAUGGGAGACUACGAGAUCAGAAACUGAAAGACUGGGAGAUCACGUCUUGAGUCCGCCUUUUGAUGCAGUCUCCAUGGCGACUACAGUUUCCUGGGAAGCAACAUGGACGUCUGUUCACUGAAAUUCUGGAGUUUGCUGAUGACGGAUAUAAGGCUAAUAUGACAAACUGAAACUUACUUGUGACAUACUCCAAAACAAUGAAGACAACAGGAUUUGGAAGGCUCCGGGGGUGAUCCACACAGUGCCUAGGACGGAUGACCAAUAGAAACGGAGGCCGUUAACCUUUCUGCUAACAAAACAGAACUGAACUCACCUUCAAACAACACAGAAGAUGCCCGCAUAUCUCUACUGCCACUUCUCAUUUACGUCUGGCUGACUCACAGUGAACCACAACA